rnacentral:rRNA from 1 species
CCUACGGGAGACAGCAGUAGGGCAUCUUUCACAAUGGGCGAAAGCCUGAUGGAGCAACGCCGCGUGCAGGAUGAAGGCCUUCGGGUUGUAAACUGCUUUUAUAAGCGAGAAAUAUGAUGGUAACUUAUGAAUAAGGAUCGGCUAACUACGUGCCAGCAGCCGCGGUCAUACGUAGGAUCCGAGCAUUAUCCGGAGUGACUGGGUGUAAAGAGUUGCGUAGGUGGCAUAAUAAGUAGCUAGUGAAAUCUGGUGGCUCAACCAUUCAGACUAUUAGCUAAACUGUUAAGCUCGAGACCGUUAGGGGUAACUGGAAUGUCUAGUGUAGGAGUGAAAUCCGUAGAUAUUAGAAGGAACACCAAUAGCGUAGGCAGGUUGCUGGGACGGUUCUGACACUAAGGCACGAAAGCGUAGGGAGCAAACGGGAUUAGAUACCCGAGUAGUC